UACGUAGGGGGGCUAGCGUUGUCCGGAAUCAUUGGGCGUAAAGCGCGUGUAGGCGGUCCGGUAAGUCCGCUGUGAAAGUCGGGGGGCUCAACCCCUCGGAUGCCGGUGGAUACUGCUGGGCUAGAGUCCGGAAGAGGCGAGUGGAAUUCCUGGUGUAGCGGUGGAAUGCGCAGAUAUCAGGAAGAACACCCGUGGCGAAGGCGGCUCUCUGGAACGCAACUGACGCUGAGACGCGAAAGCGUGGGGAGCAAACAGG
rnacentral:rRNA from 1 species